GAAAGUAAUGAAGGGCGUACGGUGGAUGCCUAGGCUCUUACAGGCGAUGAAGGACGUGAUAAGCUGCGAAAAGCCGCGGUGAGGCGCAAAUGGCCCUUGACCCGCGGAUCUCCGAAUGGGACAACCCAAUAUCUUGAAGAGAUAUUAUCCCGCCGAUGCGGGAGGCGAACGCGGGGAACUGAAACAUCUUAGUACCCGCAGGAAAAGAAAAUAAAAAAUGAUUCCCCCAGUAGUGGCGAGCGACCGGGGAACAGCCCAAACCGACGUUGUCUCGGCAUCGUCGGGGUUGUAGGACCGCGCCAUCGCAAGAAAGGCCGUGAGUGGAAGCGACUGGAAAGCCGCGCCAUAGAGGGUGACAGCCCCUUACACGAAGCAGCCUGAAGCGUAGCGGACUCCUGAGUAGCGCGGGACACGAGUAAUCCUGUGUGAAUCCGCCGGGCCCAUCCGGCAAGGCUAAAUACUCGUAAGAGACCGAUAGUGAACCAGUACCGUGAGGGAAAGGUGAAAAGGACCCCUUGCAGGGGAGUGAAACAGUUCCUGAAACCGUACGCCUACAAGCGGUCGGAGCAUCUUGAAUGAUGUGACGGCGUGCCUUUUGCAUAAUGAACCUACGAGUUGCCGUCACCAGCGAGGUUAAGUGCGAUGACGCACCGAGCCGCAGCGGAAGCGAGUCUUAAAAGGGCGCAAUAGUUGGUGGAGGCAGACGCGAAACCGAGUGAUCUACACUUGUCCAGGAUGAAGUCCCGGUAACACGGGAUGGAGGUCCGCACCAAUAAGCGUUGAAAAGCUUCUGGAUGAGGUGAGUGUAGGAGUGAAAGGCCAAUCAAACUCGGAGAUAGCUCGUACUCCCCGAAAGGCAUUUAGGUGCCGCCUGUGGCGUUCCCGACGUGAGGUAGAGCGACUGAUAGGAUGCGAGGGCUUCACCGCCUAUCAAGUCCUGACAAACUCCGAAUGCACGUCGGCCAAGCCAUGGAGUAAGGGCAUGGGUGCUAAGGUCCGUGCCCGAGAGGAGAAGAAUCCAGACCACCGGCUAAGGUCCCGAAAUACUGGUUAAGUUAGACUAACGCAGUCCGGCCCCCAAGACAGCUAGGAUGUUGGCUUGGAAGCAGCCAUUCAUUCAAAGAGUGCGUAACAGCUCACUAGUCGAGGAGCUGGGCGUGGAUAAUAAUCGGGUAUAAAACCAGUUACCGAAGCCGUGGGAUGCAUAAGCAUCGGUAGGGGAGCAUUGCAUGCAGCUUGGAAGGCGGGGCGCGAGCCCCUCUGGAGCGCAUGGAAACGCAAAUGUAGGUAUAAGUAACGACAAGGGGGGUGGGAUGCCCCCCCGCCGAAAGACCAAGGUUUCCUGAACAACGCUAAUCGGUUCAGGGUCAGUCGGGUCCUAAGCAUAAGCCGUAUGGCGAUGGCGAUGGAUGAAACGGUUAAUAUUCCGUUACUGUCUUGGUGUGUGACGCGGCGACGGAGUAGUGACACGGCCGCCUCCUGACGGAAAAGGGGGUUGAAGCGCAAAGGUGUUGAGGAAGGCAGGCAAAUCCACCUUCCGAGCCGAAGCGCGAUAGUACGCCGGGCCCUUUGGGGCAAGGCGAUAGUGCCGGUAAUCAGACUUCCAAGAAAACCCGCUAAACUUCAGCACCAAGUCACCCGUACUCCAAACGGACACACGUGGUCGGGUAGAAUAUACUAAGGCGCUUGGGAGAUUCACGGUUAAGGAACUAGGCAAAUUGACCCCGUACCUUCGGAAUAAGGGGUCCUCGCUUUUGCGAGGCGCAGAGAAUAGGUCCAGGCAACUGUUUAACAAAAACACAGGGCUGUGCCAAUUUGAAAGAAGAAGUAUACAGCCUGACACCUGCCCGGUGCCGGAAGGUUAAGAGGAGAGCUCAUCAGCGAUGAGAAGGCUUGAAUUGAAGCCCCGGUAAACGGCGGCCGUAACUAUAACGGUCCUAAGGUAGCGAAAUUCCUUGUCGGGUAAGUUCCGACCUGCACGAAUGGUGUAAUGAUCCGGACACUGUCUCAACCGUGAUCCCAGUGAAAUUGUAGUAUCGGUGAAGAUGCCGAUUACCCGCGAUGGGACGAAAAGACCCCGUGAACCUUUACUAUAGCUUAACGUUGUACCCGGGCUGUCGAUGUGUAGGAUAGGCCGGAGGCGUCGAGGCGGGCACGCCAGUGUCCGUGGAGCCGUUGUUGAAAUACGGCCCUUUGGCCGUCUGGGUACUAACUUGGUGAAUCCAAGGACCGCGUUUGG
rnacentral:rRNA from 1 species